GACCUAGGAUGUCAACGUGAUUUCAUAAGGUUUAUGAGUCAAGGAGAGAUGGAAGGCAGGAACCCUUCAGGCAAACACACAAGGGGUUGGGAAUAUGAAGCUUAUACAAGAACCCCUAGCCAUUCAGUCCCCUUGCCUGUCAGAGUGUGUGAAUAUCAGCAGAAUGCAACAUCAUGGGAAAGGCAUGUUGGCUGAAGAAGCAUUGGAAAAUUUGUAGUGUUCCCUCUCAAGGGAGAUAAGAUGGUUGGAAGAGAAUGGGAGCCCAGGUCGUGGCACCAGAAGCGUCAGUCUCUGAAUGGAUACUGAACAUUCAGAACAUCCUUCAGAACAUUCUCCUUCUCUCAGAUCUUGGAUACCUGUUCCAGGCCCUUGAUUCCCAUUCCUUGAAAGCCCUGAAUCACAGCCCAUCACUAGGCUAAUCAGGAGGAGCUGAUGCUAACCUACGCCACAGCCAUCUCUGUCUAUGGACACCCCUUGAUCUCACGUAAAGCUGAUGAUGAAAGUGCAGUCCAUUCCUCUAUCAAAACAUGAAUAUUUACUCUGUACCUGCCUGUCUCGUUUGCUGCCAGAGCUCAAAGCAGAAGUGAGGAAAUGCCGAAAGAGAGACAAUUUGCCUAAGGUUGCCAAUACAAAAGCAAGCCAGAGGUGCUGGCAAGCUACCAAGGAAGGCUGCUCUCAAGAGCGUCUGGCUGGAAUUUUGCAGAUGCAAGAGCUUUAAAUAAACACCUAAACUCUUGCACGCUUACUGAGACUGAACCUCUGAAUCUGUCACACACCAGGAGCUCUAACGGAGGAGAAUAAAAAAGACUAAGAGAACUCACAAAUAAAAAUUAUGUUUAACUGUAAAUGCCCCCUUUGCUCCUAGUGGCUUCCUGCAGGAGGAUAGACAGUAUUUUGAAUAGAUCAAUCAAAACCAUCAGCAAAUAUAGAUGACAUCCAAAACAAAAUAAAUAGCAUGUGAUGUCCCUUAAUGGACACAUAUCUAACAACAAAAUGCAGUAGAUUUGUGUGUUGCAGCAUGUCUUGGAAUAUAAAUGUGCUUUCUAAGGAAUGUAUUUCUAUUUGGUUUCCAUGAAUAUUUGAUGUACACAUAUUCCUGUAUUUUUAAUUUGUCUGCUGCAUAAGCAGAUGGCUUACAGUGUAAAAACAUGGAACUUAUUAAAACAUCUGAAUCCCAGGCCAUUUGGUUUAUCUUGAAUACCAAAUUGAGUAUUGGGAUGAUUUAAAUUAAAGUGCAUAAUUCUUGCCACCUUGAUUAGAUGCUUAAUUUCUGCACUCAGAUUAACUAAUGAAAUAAAAAAUCAUGGAUGGGUUCAGAAAUAAGGCAUGAUAGGGCCUUUUAAAAAUAAUUUAUUC